UGUGCAGUAUGUAUGUAAAUUUGCCUAAAAAGAAAAAAAUGAUAGCUUCAAUAAUAUGUUGCAUUUUAACUUUAUUCUCUUAAUUUUUUGACUGUAGCUUAAAAAUUUUUAUUUUCAUUCAAGAAAUUUCAUCCUCUGCGGGGAUUUGCUCCAGCAGCUACAUUCAACUUGUUCAAAACCAUGGUGGGUUGGGGGAGACCAAGGGAAUGUAUAUCAUCUUUCAGUUUUGAGUUUUAUCUUAAUUAUGUGCACCUUUUUGACACAUUUAAGUUGGUGAUUGAGGAUUUGCAAAUGGGCCCCUUAGAAUAAGUAUAUCCAAGGUGAAGAAUGCAAAUAUAUUAAUACAUUUCAUGUGCAUGUAUAUGCAGGGUUGGUGUUGUCCUCCUGGAAGAAGAUCAUCCAUCAAACUUAGUUGUAUUUUGUAAAUUCUAUGGACAAAGGCCUCUGAAGAUUUUGAAGAAGUUGCUAAGUGUCUUAAACUCUAACAUCUCACAAUUUAUUGCAGGAUACAAUCUGCCUCAUUUUAGUUGCAAUUGCAUCACUUAUUUCCUGUAAAGUGGUUGAAGAAACAUGCCAAAGAGGGAAUUUUCGAUGCACUUUGAUUAAUGUGCGACAGCGAGCACCGACUUUGUCACAUUAGAUGAGACUACUUUCAAGGACAUCCCUCAGGAGUAAAUCAUGGAUUUUGUUGUCCUCUGCUUAGGAAGAUUUAGCGGCCUCUCAAAAUUCCCAACUUUCCUAUGAAUAAAGGCUCUGAGGCCUUCAAUGGUAAGGUGAUUCAUUCCAUGGACUUUGCCAACAUGGGAAGCAUUGUUGCUGUCAAGUUUGUUAAUGGAAAACAUGUCGUUAUCAUUGGUUUCCUCAAUUCGGCUCUUGAUGCCACUGCAGAAUGCGCUAAUAUUAACGGUGUGGAGCUUCCUAGUACGAUGAUUGUUCGAACAAAACGAUGAAGGAAUUAGAUUUCUCAGCUUGGAGUGUCCCUUUCAGUUACUUUUAUUUCAAUCGCUUCUAGGAACUACUCUUUUACAAGCCCGAAGAAGGGAUUAUAAUAAUCCUUUUGGCAACUAUGUUUUCUCCUUUAGUAAAUACUGGACACCAACUUCAUUUUUUUGCUCUUCAAUAUAGAGAUGGUUUAUAUCUAAGUUUGUUGAGAGCUACGUCAGAAAAACCACUCCCAUAGAGAAGCACUGUGGCUGAUACCAAAAUCUG